CUUGCUGCAAAAGUUGUAGCUGUGUAUGAUGCUGUCUACAGGACAAAAUAUGGGUUACUCUUCAUCCGCACUUAUGUAAUAAAGUUCACACGAGGCUCAACACGAGUGGAUAAUACUGAAGUGGAGGUGGGAAUUGUGUUCAAUGACACUACGUCAUCUGCAGAAAUCCCCAGCUCUGCUGAUGUUGCAACAACAUUAGUAGAAGCCGUGAACAAUCCCAAC